GUUAACCCAACACAGGUGUGCUAAAAGGAAAGAUCAAAAGAAGAAAAAGGAACUCGGCAAACCUUAACCCCGCCUGUUUACCAAAAACAUCACCUCUAGCAUUACUAGUAUUAGAGGCACUGCCUGCCCAGUGACACACGUUCAACGGCCGCGGUAUCCUGACCGUGCAAAGGUAGCAUAAUCACUUGUUCCUUAAUUAGGGACUCGCAUGAAUGGCAACACGAGGGUUUAACUGUCUCUUUCUUCCAAUCAGUGAAAUUGACCUCCCCGUGAAGAGGCGGGGAUGCAACAAUAAGACGAGAAGACCCUAUGGAGCUUC
rnacentral:rRNA from 1 species